CAGGGAACUACGAGCGCUAGCUUAAAACCCAAAAGACUUGGCGGUGCCCUACACCCACCUAGAGGAGCCUGUUCUAUAAUCGAUACCCCCCGCUUUACCUCACCAAUUUUUGCCAAAUCCGCCUGUAUACCGCCGUCGCCAACUUACCCUUUGAAGGUCAAAAAGUAAGUAUAAUGGUCUCUCACCAGAACGUCAGGUCAAGGUGCAGCGAAUGAAUUGGAUAGAAAUGGGCUACAUUUUCUACUUUAGAAAAUACGGAAAAUCACUAUGAAACCUGAUUAGAAGGCGGAUUUAGCAGUAAAAAGAAACCAGAACGUUCUUUUUAAUCUGGCCCUAGGGCGCGCACACACCGCCCGUCACCCU
rnacentral:rRNA from 1 species